UAAUUUUGAGCUUUUACUAUCACUGCUUCCUGCUUCCCUUUUUUUCUUUGGAUUUUGGACUUUUGAAAGGAAAAUUUUCUCAGAAUAGAAAUGAUUCAAUUCAAGAAACAAUUAUUAACCACCUACUAUGUGCAACCCCCUAGGACAAGUUCUGGGGGUGGGGGGAUGAAAAACAGCCCAGGCCCUGCCCUCGCAAGGCUUAUAGUCUCCCAGAGAAGCUUGUCUCUUCUUUCCCUUUUCCUGUAGGUCUGUUUGCUUCUUGAUAUGAUGAAAUGUUUCCAAAUUCAGAUAACUCUUUUUGUGUAUGUGCUGCAAAGGAGUCAGCAAGACCCAGACGUGGGAGCUUGUGUUGUGCAAAGACCCCAGCCCCAGUUAUAGGGUGGAUAAGCCCGGCAGGACCCCUGCCUGCAUUCCUAGACCAGACGCCUGCAAUGCGCUCCAAGGGGAGCCCACUGCCUUUUCCUCAGCCCAGUGCUUAUUCGAAACGUAGCCAAAUGCAGAGGAAGGUCCCUCGUCCCUACUGUUCCUGGAAGGACUUCUUUGGAGGCCAUCUAACGACCUACCCUGGUUAGGUGGUUUGCCGCCACCUCCAAGGGUGGCCCGUUACUGCCUGUUUAGGCCAGCUUCCUUUGGUAGGAAAUUUGUCCUUAAAUCCAUCUAACAUCUGCCUCCCUGAGAUUCCCCUAGAGUUCCUAGUUCUGCCCUCUGGGGUCUGGCUGAGCCGUUAAUCCCCCUAUUGCACAACGUAUCUAUCCAACUGUAGAGAAUCUCAGAAGCAGAAAUCUGCCAGGAUAUGAACUAGCAAAGUCCAUUUUAUCCUCAGCAUGGGCCCUCCAUCUUCCACAGGAAGAUCCCAUCUCUCCCCUAGCUUGUGGAUGUGGCCAAUUUGUCACCUGAUGGUGACUUUCCUUGUACCUUGCUAGACUGAUCCUCAGCUGACACCCACAAUCCAUCACAGACCCUCAGCUUGAAACAUUUUGUCCUUGGAAGGUUCUGCCUCAGUUUCCACCCUUCUAGCAUAGCCUUUAAGAGCCCCUAAUCAUUCCCUCGACCCCUUGGCGUAGCAGGGAGUCAUCCCAGGAGGAGGAUGCUAAAAGGUACUUGAAUCUUCAGAAUUUAGAGACAGUUAGCCUCUUACCUUUCAAUGAAGUCAGCUUUCUUACCUCCCUUUGGUGGAGUUCCAGGUCCCAGGAUUAGGGGGUCCCAUGUCCAGCUGCCUUCCAGUCCCAAAUCCUCUCGACUUGCUCCUCCCCUCUGCCUCCAGCUUCCAAAGCAUCUUAUUUCGUAGCUUGAUGGGAACAAACGGAUACCACUGCCACUGUCUAUACCACUCCCAUCCCUCCAAGGGGGGCAAAAAAUAUACCCAGUAGCCUCUAGACCAGGUCAACAAUAGGAGAGUCCAUUAGUAAAGAAGGCACUGAAUCCUUCCAUUUCAGAUCAGAGGAAGGGUCCCUGCCUUUGGUCCUGAGCUUCCUAUUCUCCAUCCUCUGUAGAAAGGGACCGUAAUGAUCUCACACCAGGGAUCAUUUUGCAUAAGAAUCUUCCUAUCACAGCAUCAUCUGAUUGUGAUUCCAGGAAUGUAAUAGCCAGAUGGCGAGACAUGAGCACCUCAUCUUAAAUAUUGCACUUAUUACUCUUUUAAAAAAUCACAGUUCAAUAUUCUUUAGUUUUUCCAGAAAUCUGAAAAGUACUUAGGAAAAAAAAAAGCCAAUUUCUCCCUCCUGAAAUAUGUCUGUUUUAUUUUGGGGAAUCUUCUAGUGUGUUCCCCUAGACAGUGUUGGGAUCACCCAGAGACUGUGCCUGGAGCAGGGACCCAGGACACCCACAGCAGAGCUGGGAGUUGAGGGACUUCAGGGCCAGGGAUCCCCACCUUGCCCUGAAUGGUUAAGGGUCCAUCUUGAGGGGUUCUGGCCAGGCAAAACCGAGAGAAGCCACAAUGCCCUCCUCCCCACCUCUCCCAGCUGGGGCAGGGACAUGAAGCGGAGGUUCCCCAAAGGAGUUUCUCCUCCCCUGGCUCUUUGGUGGAUCUGUGGGGGCUGGGGUGCUCUGAGACCGAAAGGUGCCAGCUUGUCCUUCCCCUCUACUCCAAAGCACCAGACCCACAUGCCCAGGUCCCUUCCCAGCCAGAUGUGGAGUUUCCAGCUGUGUCCACGUGGGAGUGACUGUCAUAAUUGUUAGACCAUGUGCAGUGUGAUAUUUUUUUAACAGACAAAUAAUAAAAAGUGUAACAGUGCCUGUGUAACA
rnacentral:lncRNA from 1 species